GCCACCUUUCCAGCCUCUCCUCCCAGCAGAGGAUCCCAGUGCCCUCCUGGCCUGAAGGCCCUGCAGGCCUGGCCCUCCCAACUUCCUCUCUGCCCUUGUCCCCUGUCGUCCCUCUAGUUGGCCUGGCCCUCCCAACUUCCUCUCUGCCCUUGUCCCCCGUCGUCCCCCUAGUUGGCCUGGCCCUCCCAACCUCCUCUCUGCCCUUGUCCCCCGUCGUCCCCCUAGUUGGAGGGUGCCCCAGCCUGGCUGACCUCAGUUCUUGUCCCCAGCACACACAACUCUUCCCAGCCUCAAGGCCUUCACCUGGCUGUGCCGCUGCCUGCAAUGUUCCUCCCCAGUCUUGUCAGGGCUGGCUCCUGGGGAGAAGAUCUCUGCUCAGAUGUCACUUCCCCGGAAGGGCCUUCCACGGCCACCCACGUCGUGUCUCCCCACGCCUGCCCCCACACUCGCUAGCCCGCCAUCCCCUCUUCCUGCUUCCGUCCUCCACAGCAGUCAUCACCAUCUGAUAUUCCUGUGUAUGCAUCGGUUUGCCUUUCUGGCUCCUGGUUUUGCUCUGCCUCCCCGCUGGAAGACGUGAGGCCCGGAGUGUACAGCCAACGGUUGUCACACACAGUAUCCCCCCAAGAGAAACCUGCAGCCCAGAAGCUCGGCUGCAGUACAGAGACCCCCAACCUGGCAGAGGCCUUGACACAAAACAGUUUUGCACCAAAUGAUGCAUACGUGAAGGCACAAUGAAGUGAACAGCAAGCGUUCAAGGAAAAGGCCUUGCAUGGCAUAACAAAAUUCUGGAACAUCUUUUAUUCCAACCACAGGGUUUCGCAGGAAAGCGUCAGGAUUUCCUAUAAAGAUAACUGAGCCUCACAGUCGGCCCAGGAGUGCAGGGGUGCCAACCUAUGUCCCAGCUCCACGGUCUUGGGACCUCAAGUCACCUUCAGCCCCUCAGGCCAGAGGACAGGAGGACCAGGACCUGUCCUUCUCUAUCAGAAGCUGCAUCAUAUCUAGGGAGAAAAUACAUAAUCGGGACAGGGGCUCAGAGGAAGCCAUAAGGGUCAGCCUUGUCUCCCUGGAGUGGCACAAGCUCAGACUGAAGCCGCCCGCCUCUGCGAGAUGGAAGUUCCUUAUUCUCAGGAAGUAUGCUGGUGAAAGGAAAUUGCCAGGCAAUCUGGAACUUUUACUCUUUCAAGCCCCAGGAAGAAGAAUUGAACCAGUGGCAGGCAGCUAGGUGCUCUGUUUGGCAGUGGGCAGGUGCUGUCCCGCUGCGGGGAGUCCGACCCUGUCCCCGUCAGCAGGGUUUCCGAUACCAAUGCACCCACCAUCCUGGGGAGGAAGGCUGAACCUCCUGCAGAGUCACUGGGGAGGAAGCAGCUGUUUAAGAUUUCGUCUACACUUCUUCCCACACCUCAUGAGAAAGGACCCAGGAGGGUGCGUCCGUCCGUGUGAAUGCACUUGCAGAUGGCUGUAAUCACCCUAACAGCACGACUUAACAUUUGUAAAGAGCUUAGCACGGUGCUGGCUCGUAGUAAGCACUGCGCAGCUGCUUGUUAAAUAAAUAAACAUAAAUGGGGAACAUCUAUAGUGUGCCAAGGAUGGGAAGGAGAGUAAAGAGUGCAGAAAUGAAGGCCAAAAAACUGAGGAUGGUGGGCAGAAGGGAACGUGAGUGGCUGGAGUCGAGGAUGGAAGGAGCAGAGGUGAGGGAUGCCGUCUGAGCUGGACCAGAAAGGCUUCCAGGAGGAGGUGGCCUGGCCAGGCUCUCAGCUACCCCAGGUGAGCUUUAAAGCUCUUGGGAUUCUCAGAAGGCAGGCCGUGGGUUCACAAAACACAUUAAGAAUCUGAAAACCCUCCUAUGGAAACUGGAUGUCCAUG
rnacentral:lncRNA from 1 species